GCCUGAGGUAGCUCAGUUGGGUGAGAACGAGACUCUUAAUCUCAGGGCUGUGGGUUUGAGCUCUGUGUUGGGUG